rnacentral:rRNA from 1 species
UACGUAGGGUGCAAGCGUUGUCCGGAAUUAUUGGGCGUAAAGAGCUUGUAGGCGGUUUGUCGCGUCUGCUGUGAAAUUUUGGGGCUCAACCCCGAACUUGCAGUGGGUACGGGCAGGCUAGAGUGUGGUAGGGGAGACUGGAAUUCCUGGUGUAGCGGUGAAAUGCGCAGAUAUCAGGAGGAACACCGAUGGCGAAGGCAGGUCUCUGGGCCACUACUGACGCUGAGAAGCGAAAGCAUGGGGAGCGAACAGG